GACGAACGCUGGCGGCGUGCUUAACACAGAAUAACUGAUUGGGUUGCGGACUGGUGAGUAACGCGUACAGAACUUGCCUCACACGUAGGGACAACAAUUGGAAACGAAUGCUAAUACCUAAUACUGUGAGAGAGUUUUGAGUCCCAUUAGCUAGUUUGACAGGUAACGGCGCACAAAGGCGACGAUGGGUAGCCGGCCUGAGAGGUUGAUCGGCAACAAGGGGACUGAGACACGGCCCUUACUGCGUCGGGAGGCAGCAGUGGGGAAUAUUGGAAAAAGGACCAAAGUCUGUUCCAGCAAUUCGGUGUUGACGAAAAAGUUUUCGGAAUGUAAAGUGCUUUAAGUUGGGAAGCGAUACCAACAGAAGAAGUGACGGAUAAAUACGUGCCAGCAGCCGCGGUAAUAC
rnacentral:rRNA from 1 species